rnacentral:tRNA from 1 species
GCAUUGAUGGUUCAGUGGUAGAAAUCUCGCCUCUCACGCGGGAGACCCGGGUCCGAUUCCUGGCCAAUGCA